rnacentral:rRNA from 1 species
GUGGGGAAUAUUGGACAAUGGGCGCAAGCCUGAUCCAGCCAUGCCGCGUGAGUGAUGAAGGCCCUAGGGUUGUAAAGCUCUUUCACCGGUGAAGAUAAUGACGGUAACCGGAGAAGAAGCCCCGGCUAACUUCGUGCCAGCAGCCGCGGUAAUACGAAGGGGGCUAGCGUUGUUCGGAAUUACUGGGCGUAAAGCGCACGUAGGCGGACAUUUAAGUCAGGGGUGAAAUCCCGGGGCUCAACCCCGGAACUGCCUUUGAUACUGGGUGUCUGGAGUAUGGAAGAGGUAAGUGGAAUUCCGAGUGUAGAGGUGAAAUUCGUAGAUAUUCGGAGGAACACCAGUGGCGAAGGCGGCUUACUGGUCCAUUACUGACGCUGAGGCGCGAAAGCGUGGGGAGCAAACAGGAUUAGAUACCCCUGUAGUCC